AGCAGAUGACAAGGGAAUAAAAUCCAAAGUUCCAGGAAGUGAGGCUGAGCAGGAGAAUGAGAAUGAGGAGGAGGAGGAGGAGGAGGAGGAGGAGGAGGAGGAGGAGGAGGAGGAGGAGGAGGAGGAGGAGGAAGGGUCUCUGAUCUCUGAGCAGAGUCCUCAGAACCAGGAUGUCUCGGCACUGAAAGAAUCCACAGAUGUUCCUAAAUCCAAGAGAGGA